UGAAUGAGAAUGGUCUUCUUAUAUAAUGGAGGGAUGGAAGAAGAUACUUAGAAAAAUCAGGGAAGAGUGAAGAAGAUACUUCGAAAAAUCAGGGAAGAUUUUCAUCAUAAGGUCCAAGCAAAGGCAUGAGUAUAAGAUGUGUAUUCCUGAGUCUGAGUCUACUGACAAAUAUACCACAUCCCCAGAGUAACUUGGAGUCUCUUAAAAUUGUCUUGCUGGCAUCUAGCGGAGAUUGUCCCCAUAAGCAUGUUCCUUAUGAUGGAUGCCUGGGUCAGAACACAUAAUACAUUCUUUUUUAUAAGCAUGAGGAUUCUGAGAAGCACUGCCCCUCCCACGUGUCACACUCUGGGGAGAGAUGAUUGGAAUGCCUCUUGGAUCAGGUAUCUUUGGUGAUCAUUCCACCUAGUUAAGAUGAAGCUGGUGAUAC
rnacentral:lncRNA from 1 species